rnacentral:rRNA from 1 species
CAGUCGCCGCGGUAAUACGGAGGGUGCAAGCGUUAAUCGGAAUUACUGGGCGUAAAGCGUGCGUAGGCGGUUCGUUAAGUCUGUUGUGAAAGCCCCGGGCUCAACCUGGGAAUGGCAAUGGUUACUGGCGAGCUAGAGUGUGUCAGAGGAUGGUGGAAUUCCCGGUGUAGCGGUGAAAUGCGUAGAGAUCGGGAGGAACAUCAGUGGCGAAGGCGGCCAUCUGGGACAACACUGACGCUGAGGCACGAAAGCGUGGGGAGCAAACAGGAUUAGAUACCCCAGUAGUCCCUGUCUCUUAUAC